rnacentral:tRNA from 1 species
AAAACAGAAGUAUAAUACUUUCGGUUUCGGCCUGAAAAUAGGCCUUACAGGCCCUGUUUUA